rnacentral:misc_RNA from 1 species
GGAAGGAUCAUUAAAACGUAUCCAACGUUAACCAAUUGUGAACUCGUUUCCUCCCUUAGCUUUGAAAAAUUGGAGCUGUGAUCGACAUUGAGUGGGAUCUGUAACAGGAUCGGUCUUUCGCAGUCACUGACACUUUUGGGUGUCGACAAGAGUAUCUUUGCUAAGGCUUUUCUUUCUGUUUCCACCCUCCAUUCAAAGGUGGGGCAGAAGGAGUACAUACUAACCAUUAUCACCCUUUUUUGCUAGUUGACUUUUUUAAUGUUGAUCUCUACGAAAGUAAAGAUUACACGUUUCAUUAUUUGAACGUAAAAUACAACUCUUAGCAAUGGAUAUCUAGGUUCUCGCAACGAUGAAGAACGCAGCGAAAUGCGAUACGUAAUGCGAAUUGCAGAAUUCAGUGAAUCAUCAAAUCUUUGAACGCAAAUUGCGCUCUUGGGUAGCCCUAGGAGCACGCCUCUCUCAGUAUCGGUUCUAACUCCUCUCAGCAGCGUCGUCAUUUAUUUGACAAUGUGUAGCUGGUGAAUGAGAGUCUGAGUGCUUGACACUCAGUCUCUUGAAAAACAUGGAGUAAUCUCGACUCGUAAGCAGCUUGAAAAUUUAUUUUCAAUAGUCAGUGUCUGACUUCGCUGUGUAGAGUGACGUGAAUAAUGACCCUCGGGUCUCCUUUUACGUGUAACUCUCACAAUGAAUUUAGUCGGAAUAUUUGACGAACAGCUUACACAUGUGUGCCUGAUUACGUAGGAUAACCAUAUGAGCGCUGAGCAUUUUAUGCCUGGUACUCUGAAUUUUGAUCUGAGAUGAAGCGAGACAACCCCCUGAAUUUAAGCAUAUUAAUAAGGGGAGGAAAAGAAACUAACAAGGAUUCCCUUAGUAACGGCGAGUGAAGCGGGAAGAGCUCAAUUUGAAAAUCGACUUCCCAGACGGGACGUCGAGUUGUAGCCUAGAGACGUACUAUCAGCUGAGACCUGGGUAUAAGUUCUUUGGAAUGAGGCAUCAUAGAGGGUGAGAAUCCCGUAUAUGACCCAAAGCUUUCAGCGUACGAUGUAUGUUCAUCGAGUCGAGUUGUUUGGGAUUGCAGCUCUAAAUGGGUGGUAAGUUUCAUCUAAAGCUAAAUAAUGGCGAGAGACCGAUAGCGAACAAGUACCGUGAGGGAAAGAUGAAAAGAACUUUGAAAAGAGAGUUAAAAGUACUUGAAAUUGCUAAGAGGGAAGCGCUGGAAACUAGUCAUAUGCUGAGUUAAUCGCUUUCGGCCCCACUGGAUCGUGCUUGCAAUUGGAAACUUUGCCUGUGCGGUCGAAAGGGUGGUCGGGAGUUUAUAAUUCAGUGUUAGUCAAGAUCAAUUCGAUCUGUGGGAGAAGGUGGCGGGAAAGGUAGGAGAGCAAUCUCUGUUAUAAUCCUGUCACUCUACCUCGGGUUGGAUUGAGGAAGUAAUGGUGCGCCGCUUGCGGCUUGGUCCCGGAUUCCUACUGCCCUAUCUGCUCCAAUAGCAAUGCUAUUCUGUGGAAACCGGUUGUACUGGGUUCGGUGAUCCUAUGUGCCAUCACGAUCUUGUACGAAAUGGUUUUCAUCGACCCGUCUUGAAACACGGACCAAGGAGUCUAACAUCUAUGCGAGUAUUGGGUGCAAAACCCUGAUGCGUAAUGAAAGUAAAGGUAGCUUCGGCUGCUGAGGUAGGAAUCCCGCAAGGGAGGCACUAUCGACCGAUCAUCACUUGUGAAAGAUUUGAGUAAGAGCAUAUCUGUUGGGACCCCGAAAGAUGGUGAUCUAUGCCUGAACAGGGUGAAGCCAGGGGAAACUCUGGUGGAGGCUCGUAGCGAUACUGACGUGCAAUCGUUCGUCUGAUUUGGGUAUAGGGGCGAAAGACUAAUCGAACCAUCUAGUAGCUGGUUCCCUC